rnacentral:tRNA from 1 species
CCCCCUGUAGCUCAAUGGCAGAGCGUCCGGCUGUAGAACGUCAUCAGUAUGUGCUGAUACCGGAAGGUUGCAGGUUCAAAUCCAGCCGGGGGGA